UGGGGAAUUUUGGACAAUGGGCGAAAGCCUGAUCCAGCAAUGCCGCGUGUGUGAAGAAGGCCUUCGGGUUGUAAAGCACUUUUGUCCGGAAAGAAAUCCUUGGCUCUAAUACAGUCGGGGGAUGACGGUACCGGAAGAAUAAGCACCGGCUAACUACGUGCCAGCAGCCGCGGUAAUACGUAGGGUGCAAGCGUUAAUCGGAAUUACUGGGCGUAAAGCGUGCGCAGGCGGUUUGCUAAGACCGAUGUGAAAUCCCCGGGCUCAACCUGGGAACUGCAUUGGUGACUGGCAGGCUAGAGUAUGGCAGAGGGGGGUAGAAUUCCACGUGUAGCAGUGAAAUGCGUAGAGAUGUGGAGGAAUACCGAUGGCGAAGGCAGCCCCCUGGGCCAAUACUGACGCUCAUGCACGAAAGCGUGGGGAGCAAACAGGAUUAGAUACCCUGGUAGUCCACGCCCUAAACGAUGUCAACUAGUUGUUGGGGAUUCAUUUCCUUAGUAACGUAGCUAACGCGUGAAGUUGACCGCCUGGGGAGUACGGUCGCAAGAUUAAAACUCAAAGAAUUGACGGGGUCAUAGCUGUUUCCU
rnacentral:rRNA from 1 species